GACGAACGCUGGCGGCGUGCUUAACACAUGCAAGUCGAACGGUGAAGCGCCUUCCUUUUUGGUGGGUGUGGAUGAGUGGCGAACGGGUGAGUAACAUGUGAGUAACCUGCCCCCUUCUUCUGGAUAACCGCAUGAAAGUGUGGCUAAUACGGGAUAUUCUGGGUCUGUCGCAUGAUGGGUCUGGGAAAGAUAUUGUUUCGGUGGGGGAUGGGCUCGCGGCCUAUCAGCUUGUUGGUGGGGUGAUGGCCUACCAAGGCGGUGACGGGUAGCCGGCCUGAGAGGGUGGACGGUCACACUGGGACUGAGACACGGCCCAGACUCCUACGGGAGGCAGCAGUGGGGAAUAUUGCACAAUGGGCGCAAGCCUGAUGCAGCGACGCCGCGUGAGGGAUGGAGGCCUUCGGGUUGUGAACCUCUUUCGCCAGUGAAGCAGGCCUGCCUCGUUUGUGGGUGGGUUGACGGUAGCUGGAUAAGAAGCGCCGGCUAACUACGUG
rnacentral:rRNA from 1 species